AGAACUGUCAAACAAUUUUUAAAAUCUACUAAAAUGUAUGAAAGUUGGCCUAGUGGCAGCUUUACUUCACUUGCUUGAAGCGCUUUAAAGUAUCGAUUAGCCGAAAUCUCUAUUUGACAGCGCGCUGUAGGCUUUUGACAACUCUUGACAUUUCAAUUUUUCGCGUCGAUUUUGCUUGUGUGCAGUUUUUAUCGCGUUCUUCAUCAAUUUUAGAUACCUUGCUUUUUAUCGUUCCGGCCACCAGAUUCGUUGGUUUUCAUAAAGUUUCAUUUGCCUGUGCCACUUCCACCCGUGUUUAUAAGGCGUAAUAUUCAACUGGAGAUACCUUGCUUUUUAUCGUUCCGGCCACCAGAUUCGUUGGUUUUCAUAAAGUUUCAUUUGCCUGUGCCACUUCCACCCGUGUUUAUAAGGCGUGAUAUUCAACUGGAGGUA